CUUGGUCAUUUAGAGGAAGUAAAAGUCGUAACAAGGUUUCCGUAGGCGAACCUGCGGAAGGAUCAUUAACAAAUCCACAGUAUGUGCGGCAUGGCCUUGGCAGCGAUUGCUGGGGCCCUGCUCACAUAUAAGCCCCGUGCAGCAAUGCACGUGAGACAUUUUAUCGUUUGACAUGUACAUGCGAAAAGUAUAUAGCAAACUUUUAACAAUGGAUCUCUAGGCUCUUGCAUCGAUGAAGAACGCAGUGAAGUGCGAAAAGUAAUGCGAUUUGCAUGCUCUGUGAGUCAUCGAAUCUUUGAACGCAUAUGGCGCCUGCAGGCUUCCUGGAAGGCAUGCCUGUUUGAGAAUCAUGCAUCAACAUAAUUGUUUUGGGCUUUCAUCAGUGAUUGCCUGGAAAAGGCGUGCAAUUUGCCGUGUCAGUGGGCGUCUGCUCACCUCGGCAAACCGACUAUCUCCACAAUAAUGAUCUCAAAUCAGGCAAGACUACCCGCCGAACUUAAGCAUAUCAAUAAGCGGAGGA
rnacentral:rRNA from 1 species